rnacentral:rRNA from 1 species
UACGUAGGGACCGAGCGUUGUCCGGAAUCAUUGGGCGUAAAGAGCGUGUAGGCGGCUUGCUAAGUCUUGCGUGAAAUCUCGGGGCUCAACCCCGAGCGGUCGUGGGAAACUGGCAGGCUAGAGUGCGGGAGAGGAGAAUGGAAUUCCUGGUGUAGCGGUGAAAUGCGCAGAUAACAGGAAGAACACCCGUGGCGAAGGCGGUUCUCUGGAACGCAACUGACGCUGAGACGCGAAAGCGUGGGGAGCAAACAGG